rnacentral:tRNA from 1 species
GCCAGGGUGGCAGAGCGGCUAUGCAAUCGGCUGCAGACCGAUGUACCUCGGUUCAAAUCCGGGCCCUGGCU